rnacentral:lncRNA from 1 species
AGCCCAGUAGAUUAAAGCCCAAAGCGAAAAAAAAAAAACAAAACAAAACAAAACAGGGGAAUUCAAAAUCGGGAAGAAGACUCCCGAUGGGAGUCUCCUUCUCCGACGAAAUCCGGACGGAAUCAGGACUCCUAGGACCCCUCGGAGUCCUAGGGUCCUCUAUAAGUAGACCCCUCCCCCUUGAGACCCAAGAACGGCCUCCUCCCUCUCUCUUUCUCU